rnacentral:lncRNA from 10 species
AGCCCUUCAGCCCCAUAGAGGAAGUCCCCAGAGGAUGGAUGGUUCUGGAAGUUACGGGUUACCAGGACAACGCAUCCCCUCAGCCUGGCCACGCCCCCCGGGCUCCCGCUCACUGGUUGCAAAACUCAGCUUUGCCCCUGCACGGAGUUUCCCUUCGCGGGGCCCGCUGGGGAAGCAUCCGCGGCUUGUGGUGGCUGUGGUUUUGUGCCCAGGACUCACACGUAAAAGGAGCUCAUUCGGAGGCAGGGGCACGCGCUUGUCCCCAGAACUCAAACCCCAGAGUCCCUCCGGCAGAUGAGAGUGGAGGUUGUAAAUCACCCUCCAUGCAAUGGUUCAUCAUAAAGGAUAUGGAGCAAAAUUAGAGGAGGCACGAGAAGGAAAGCCGGUGAUGAACAAGGAAAGUGCCUGGUUGAAGCUAGCUUGCAAUCCCAAAGUCAGAAGGUUGCCUGGGAAGCCAUGAAACAAAGCCAAAUCAAGGCAAAGCAGACACAUGGAGAUUUUGAGACUGAGAAGAGGAAAACUGAGGACAUUCAUGUGAGAUGGUUUCAAGUUUCCCUUAGAAGGAGAAGUUAUCUUCAGAAGGUCAGGUUGGUGAGGUGGGAGUUCAAAAACAACAAAGUAUGUAGCUACCAUUGUGAGGAAGACCAUGGAAAAUGGACGAAUCAGAAUGAAAGGCUUUCUGAACAAGAGUAAGUACCCCCACUGAUGUGGCUUGGUGGUAUCACCACCCAAAUCUCAUCUUGAAUUGUAGCUCCCACAAUUCCCAGGGAGUUUCCCUGCACAAGCUCCCUCCUGCCUGCUGCCAUGUGAGACCUGCGUUUUGCCUUCCACCAUGACUGUGAGGCCUCUUCCCCGGCCAUGUGGAACUCCCAGAGACAGAAGCAGAUAAUGCAAGUGUCAUCUACAUCUGGCAAAAGCCAAAGGUUUGGAAGAUGGAAAAAGGAAUCCAGGCAAAAAGGAGCCCAAGAUUGAAGUGAAUGACCAGGUGCACCAGUUCAAAUGCAAUCAGGAGGGACAGGGGUAGAGGGAGAAGCCUAGAGCAGCGCUUCUCAAACUGACUAUUCAAGUCACCUGGAGAUCUUGGUGAAAUGCAGACUCUGGUGCAGUAGGUCCUGGCGGGAACUUGAAAUUCUGCAUUUUGACCAAGGUCCAAGGUGAAUGUCCAGUGCUGUUGUCCUUGGCCUGCAGCAGGAGGAGCAGGGAUCUAAGACUUGGAGAGCAAAUGUCAAGCUCAGAAGAAAGACUGGAAGUUUGGGGACAAAACCCAAAUAUGGCUAAAGAAAGCCUGUAGGAUGAAGUUGGAAGUUCCAGAGCCUUCUCUUCACAUAAUGGGACAUGCAAGGGGGAAACCAAAUCAAAAGUGUAGAAUGCGUCGCUGGAUGUCUUUGACAUGUUAUUGUUCUGAUAGAAUAUCAGCGGGGAGCUACUGAGGACCUCCUCACUACCCUCCCUUGGAAGAGUUUGUCUGCAAUGGAGCCAACACAGUGGAAAGCAGAGCUGAGAAAUGGACAAACAACUCCUGAUGCCUCAUUUGAGCACCUGGAUUUAGCCAUGUCUGAAGCUAUUAAUCUUCCCCACCAAGUUAGAACCUGUGUCAUGUUCCUCUGAACUGUGUUUGUCCCCUUCGGGGGACCCCACAUGCUACGGACACCUGAUGAUUCGACCUGUUCACCAUCCCUUCAGCCCUGAACUGGCAACAGUAUCCUCAUUAUUCAUGAGAAAACGAUUCCUCCUCCCUUCCCAGACCAUGAGGAUUGAGUGGAAUUCACUCCAUCCUUCUCAGCUCCCUGGUGAGUAGGUGGCUGGAACUAGUCAAUGAGUAUAUUUCAACCCAGGGAUGGGAAUGUAGCCAACUCUGAACAAUGAGAGUCAGCCUCAGGAUUCUAAUGGAAGUGUCUGUAAGAAAACUCUGUCUCCACCAGACCAGAAACUGGCAGGGUACAAGCCUACAACUGUUGGCAGCCACCUUACCACCACCCAGGGAGUCUGUGGCUGGGCUCCCUAAGAAGAAGACUCUGAGGCAAGGAUUUCUGUGCAAGAGGUUUAUUUUGGAGACUCCCAGGAAGCAUGGGAAGGAGAAUAGGAAAGUGAGACAGGAAAGAGAAGGGGGCUAAAUCAGAGUGCAUUGGAGAGCAGGCUGCCACAGCGGGCAACUGAGGCUUAGCACUGUUGGAAACAUCUGGAGAAAAUAUAGAACAUGUCCAGGAGUCCUCCCAACCAAAGACCGUAGUAAUUCAUUGUUGAAUCUACUAAAUCGAUCUGUCUUUGGCUGAAGGCUGCUACCAGGGCUGUUAACUCCCUGGUUCUUCUGCCUGCCCACAACAGACUGAACCAGCCCCUGUGGGAAGAGAAAGCCCCCAGGCUGAGAAUCAACUGAGCUGCAUUGAGGAGCCCCAGGUGUGUGUCCAGGAAUGCCAAGUGCAGAAGGGCUAUGCACGGGGCACCAUCAUGACCUGCUGCAGAGACCGUCCCUGAGAACAGAGGAGCAGAGAGAGAGAAGAGCAAGAGAUGGGCAAGGACAGAGUCACAAUCCCAGUGUCUGGCCCCUGCCUCCGGCCUUGUCUCAGCUAGCUCUGUCACUGGACUUUCAUUUGUCUGGGACCAAUAUCUCUCUUCCUUCCUAAAGAUGACUGCAGACUGGUUUCUGCCCUGUGUAAUGAAAAGAUCAUGAUGUGCACAGCUUUUUACCCCAUCUUAAGAAUAUUUGAGCACUUAUCUCCAUAGAGGGCAGAAUCUGUAAUGAAUUUACUUUUCAGUCCUCCAUAACACCUGUCGCAAGGUUUGUACAGUUUUCAAGAAAUACUGGGUAGAUGAAUGAAUGGAUACUGAAAAGACCCACUAAAAUUUAAUGCAAAUCUGUAACAACAGAUGCCCAUUUAAGGCACAUGGCAGAGGGCAAGGUGGCAUAGGGAGAAAGCAGUUGGAGCAGAUUCAUCCUGGCAGUGGCACCCUGUGAGGAGGGGUACUGGCAGGUCCCACUGGGGCUCCCAAGUGAAAAAGUGCCAGUGUUAGUUCCUGCUACCAAGAAACCUAGAGCUUCUCUGGUUCUAGUUUUUUCCAAAGGCUCAUUUUCCAGCUUUUCCUUCCAUUCUGAGAGCUAUACCAUAGCUUCCAUUAAUUCUUUAUUGUUUGUUAAUUUGGCCUAAUACUGUGACUCAGUCUCUGUCACUUGCCACCCUAGAACCCUAGCCAGCACAGAAAUGACGGAGUGAAACCACCUCCACACAAACCAGUGCUGCUUCCUCUCUUCACAGUUGCAGAUUCUGUCUCUAGUGGCAGCAUUAAGGGAGAUUGUGUCAUCAAGCCUGCUUUGCUCUAAGAUGCUGACUUUAACAGAUUAGAAAUGUUCCCGGCACAGCCCACGCUUCUGCUAAUAAAUGAUUCCAUAUCUAUCAUGAAUGAAUUUCAAGUCUUCCAUUACUGGGCUGUGUACCUACUCACGAAGUACAUUUCCAGGCGAUUUUGUCUGAAUUACAUGGUUAAUUGCCUCAUAUUUUCAGCUCA